rnacentral:lncRNA from 1 species
GGGAAACUAAAUUUAAAAAGCAAAAAAGCAAUUUAAAAAAUCUAGUCAUUCGGCCAAAAAUGAAAAGAAAAAAAGGGAUGUAGCAACUGGCUCCGAAUCCAGAUCAUCUCGCACACAAGAGAGGCAGUAAGCAACAAAUUCUAAAUGUGCCCCUAAUCUGCUUUUGUGUCUAACUGUGCCGAGUGAACCGUGUGGUCGUUUCUCA